rnacentral:rRNA from 1 species
GACGAACGCUGGCGGCGUGCUUAACACAUGCAAGUCAAGGGGGGGCCGCAAGGCUCAACCGGCGAACGGGUGCGUAACACGUGAGCGACCUACCUUCUUGUGGGGGAUAGCCGGCCCAAC